rnacentral:misc_RNA from 1 species
GGCCUAAACAGAAACAGAGAGAGGCAAAUCAGGGGACUAUGAUCGGCCGUGACAUACCUCGGCGGCGCGUGUUGGCGCCUCUAAAUAAGAGAAAAAUCCUCAAUUCUUCAGUUUGGAUUUCAGUGUCUCUCGACUCUCUCCCACUCGAACUCUCCAUCCCCUUCUUCAUCUUCUUCUUCCGGGUCGGGUAAUUUGUUCAAAUCCACCCGAUCCAAAAACCCGCUGCAGCCUUUUGUCUCCGGCGGAGACGCCGAUGCGUGUGAAUGAUGGUUCCGGUUGUGGUGACUGUGUUGCCCUAAAGAACUCUCCAGAGCAUCCACUCUUGCACCCACCUCCGUGGCUUUCUUCCGUA